GCCUACGGGACGCAGCAGUCGAGAAUCAUUCACAAUGGGGGAAACCCUGAUGGUGCGACGCCGCGUGGGGGAAAGAAGGUCUUCGGAUUGUAAACCCCUGUCAUGUGGGAGCAAAUUAAAAAGAUAGUACCACAAGAGGAAGAGACGGCUAACUCUGUGCCAGCAGCCGCGGUAAUACAGAGGGCUCAAGCGUUGUUCGGAAUCACUGGGCGUAAAGCGUGCAUAGGCUGUUUCGUCAGUCGUGUGUUAAAGGCGCGGGCGCAACCCGCGGACGGCACA
rnacentral:rRNA from 1 species